GAUGAACGCUGGCGGCGUGCCUAAUACAUGCAAGUCGAGCGAACGGACGAGAAGCUUGCUUUUCUGAUGUUAGCGGCGGACGGGUGAGUAACACGUGGAUAACCUACCUAUAAGACUGGGAUAACUUCGGGAAACCGGAGCUAAUACCGGAUAAUAUUUUGAACCGCAUGGUUCAAAAGUGAAAGACGGUCUUGCUGUCACUUAUAGAUGGAUCCGCGCUGCAUUAGCUAGUUGGUAAGGUAACGGCUUACCAAGGCAACGAUGCAUAGCCGACCUGAGAGGGUGAUGGGCCACAUUGGAACUGGGACACGGUCCAGACUCCUACGGGAGGCAGCAGUAGGGAAUCUUCCGCAAUGGGCGAAAGCCUGACGGAGCAACGCCGCGUGAGUGAUGAAGGUCUUCGGAUCGUAAAACUCUGUUAUUAGGGAAGAACAUAUGUGUAAGUAACUGUGCACAUCUUGACGGUACCUAAUCAGAAAGCCACGGCUAACUACGUG
rnacentral:rRNA from 1 species